rnacentral:sRNA from 1 species
UUUGGAUUGAAGUGAAUUUUACAU